AAAUAACCAAUUAUUAUACAAAUUUUAAUUAAUUAGUCAAAAAGUGACAAAAAUUUAUGAAAAUAUUGUCAUUUUUUUAAUUAAAUUUGUGUGUUUCUCUUUAUUUCAAUAAAUUUUCGAAUUUAUAACUAAAAAUAUAUGAAAAUCAUCCACAAUACUGUAAUUGGCCAUGAGAGUAUGUUGACACACUACACCCAGUAUUACAUGCAGUGCAGUAAAGUAGGCUUGGCUGUAAUUUUCUGCAAAAUGACUGGUCACUAUAAAAUAAUAAAACUCCUAUGCCCAUUUUUAUUGAAUGGGGUUGUUUGCAUUAGGAUUUUUUUGUAUUUUACUAAAUUAUCUGUAAAAGUAAAGCAAUAAAUGGCCAC
rnacentral:lncRNA from 1 species